GCCGGGCACAGUGACACAUGCCUGUAGUUCCAGCUACUCAGGAGGCUGAGGUGUGAGGAUCGCUUGAGCCCAGGAGUUCUGGGCUGUAGUGCGCUAUGCCAAUCAGGUGUCCACACUAAGUUUGGCAUCAAUAUGGUGACCUCCCGGGAGCAGGGGACCACGAGGUUGCCUAAGGAGGGAUGAACCGGCCCAGGUCGGAAACGGAGCCUGACAAAACGCCCGUGCUGAUCAGCAGUGGGAUCGUGCCUGUGAAUAGCCACUGCACCCCAGCCUGGGCAACAGAUUGACACCCCGUCUCU
rnacentral:SRP_RNA from 1 species